AGUCGCGUGGUCUAAUGGUUAUGAUAUCUCGUUCACAACUUGAACUUUGAUCCGAGAUGGUUCCCGGUUCGAUCCCGGGCGCGACUA